UUCCGGUUGAUCCUGCCGGACCUUACUGCUAUCGGGAUGAGACUAAGCCAUGCAUGUCGAGCGCUCUUCAGCUAUGUAGAGAGCGCGGCGAACGGCUCAAUAACACGUAGUUAACCUACCCUCGGGAUGGGAAUAACCCCGGGAAACUGGGAUUAAUACCCACUAGAUGAUUAUACCUGGAAUGGCUUAUCAUCGAAAGAGUCUGGAAGCAUGCUUCCAGCGUCGCCCGAGGAUGGGACCGCGUCCGAUCAGGUAGUUGGUAGGGUAAUGGCCUACCAAGCCUAUAACCGGUACGGGCCCUGAGAGGGGGAGCCCGGAGAUGGAAACUGAGAAAAGGUUCCAGGCCCUACGGGGUGCAGCAGGCGCGAAACCUCCACAAUGCGCGAAAGCGUGAUGGGGUUAUCCCGAGUGCCGUCCGAUGAGGAUGGCUUUUUAUCGAUGUAAGGAUUCGAUAGAAUAAAGGGGGGGCAAGACUGGUGUCAGCCGCCGCGGUAAUACCAGCCCCCUGAGUGGUAAGGACGAUUAUUUGGCCUAAAGCGUUCGUAGCCGGCUUAUCAAGUCUUUUGUUAAAUCCAACGAUUCAAUCGUUGGGCUGCAAAAGAUACUGUUAUGCUAGAGGACGGGAGAGGUCGACGGUAGUCCAGGGGUAGGGGUGAAAUCCUAUAAUCCUUGGAGGACCACCAGUGGCGAAGGCGGUCGACUAGAACGUGCCUGACGGUGAGGGACGAAAGCUGGGGGAGCGAACCGGAUUAGAUACCCGGGUAGUCCCAGCUGUAAACGAUGCGGGCUAGGUGUUGGGGCAGCCAUGAGCUGCUCCAGUGCCGCAGAGAAGUUGUUAAGCCCGCCGCCUGGGGAGUACGGCCGCAAGGCUGAAACUUAAAGGAAUUGGCGGGGGAGCACCACAAGGGGUGAAGGCUGCGGUUUAAUUGGAGUCAACGCCGGG
rnacentral:rRNA from 1 species